UACGGAGGGUGCGAGCGUUGUCCGGAAUCACUGGGCGUAAAGGGCGCGUAGGUGGCCCGACAAGUCAACGGUGAAAGCUCGAUGCUCAACAUCGAGUCGGCCGUCGAUACUGUCAGGCUGGAGCACUGUAGAGGCUCAUGGAAUUCCGGGUGUAGCGGUGGAAUGCGUAGAGAUCCGGAAGAACACCGGUAGCGAAGGCGGUGAGCUGGGCAGUAGCUGACACUGAGGCGCGACAGCGUGGGGAGCAAACAGG
rnacentral:rRNA from 1 species